rnacentral:rRNA from 1 species
GACGAACGCUGGCGGCGUGCUUAACACAUGCAAGUCGAACGGAAAGGCCUGCUUUCCCUUGUGGAUUGCGGGUACUCGAGUGGCGAACGGGUGAGUAACACGUGAGUGAUCUGCCCCCAACUUGGGUAUAAGCCUGGGAAACUGGGUCUAAUUCCCGAUAGGACUGCAGGGUGGUGCCUGUGGUGGAAAACGAUUUUCUAGUGGUUGGGGAUGAGCUCGCGGCCUAUCAGCUUGUUGGUGGGGUAAUGGCCUACCAAGGCGGCGACGGGUAGCCGGCCUGAGAGGGUGGACGGCCGCAUUGGGACUGAGAUACGGCCCAGACUCCUACGGGAGGCAGCAGUGGGGAAUAUUACACAAUGGGCGGAAGCCUGAUGCAGCGACGCCGCGUGGGGGAUGACGGCCUUCGGGUUGUAAACUCCUUUCGACCGCGAGGAAGCCACCUGGUUGGAAGGGUGGUGACGGUAGUGGUAGAAGAAGCACCGGCUAACUACGUG